AAUGAACGCUGGCGGCGUGCCUAACACAUGCAAGUCGGAUGUGCCCGCAAGGGUGCAUGGCAGACGGGUGAGUAACGCGUGGGGAAUUUACCUUUAGUGGGGAAUAACGCUCCGAAAGGAGUGGUAAUACCGCAUGUGACCAUCGGCUGGGAUGCUGAUGGUGAAACCCUGGGACCUUCGGGCCAGGGGCUAGAAGAGGAUCCUGCGUCUGAUUAGCUAGUUGGCGGGGUAACGGCCCACCAAGGCGACGAUCAGUAGCCGGCCUGAGAGGGUGAUCGGCCACACUGGGACUGAGACACGGCCCAGACUCCUACGGGAGGCAGCAGUGGGGAAUAUUGGACAAUGGGGGAAACCCUGAUCCAGCAAUGCCGCGUGAGUGAUGAAGGUCUUCGGAUUGUAAAGCUCUUUUGGCAGGGACGAUGAUGACGGUACCUGCAGAAUAAGCUCCGGCUAACUUCGUGCCAGCAGCCGCGGUAAGGA
rnacentral:rRNA from 1 species